rnacentral:lncRNA from 1 species
CUCCUUGUGCAUGUGUGUAUGAGAAGCUGCCUGCAUGCACGUGCAUUGCCAACUCACGAUGCACACUCAACUUCAACCCCAUUAAAACUUUAGGGUUUAAUGCCAACUCAAUAAGCACGCUCAUUCAUCAUCAUCAUUAUGAUCAUCAUCAUCAUCAUCAUCUCUCUCUCUCUCUCUCUCUCUCUUGUUGUCUUUUAUCAUCAUGGGAAUCACUAUCCAUGUUUUUUCUUACUUUUAAGCAUCAAUCAUGGACUCUCUCUAUCUCUUUCUUUCAUGUGUUAACAAAAACGAAGGCAUGCUCUUUCACCCAAAAAAAAAAAAAACGAAGGCAUGCAUAAUUGAAUGUGAAUAAUUAAUGCGGAAAUCAUGCAUGUGCAUAGUGCAUUGCGACAUUGGCGUGUGCUUUCUCUAAUUCAUUUCUUGUUACACAAUCUCAAAGCUUUUCUCAUUAUUUCAGGUACUCACCAUACUCAGCAGAUUACACUUAUCCUACGGUUUGCACAACCUUCCUUUUCCUUUUACCUUUAUUUUUGUACAAUAAGUGUACUUAAAUUCCAACAGCUCUUUUACAAAUAUUUAAAAAUAAAAAUAAAAAUCCAUCAAUAAUGACCACUCACCAACAACUGUUGACAUUUAAAGCUGCCAUGAGGAUGAGGUUGACUUGUUACCAAAUUUGUUGGAACAAGGUUUCCUUUAUUACUCUUUCAAUUAUGUUAGUAAUCAUAGUAGGUGAAUUUCUUAAUUCUUGAUAGAGCUCAUCUUAAAAAUAAUAAUAGCAUUGGCAUUUUUUAAUCUGAGUGGUUAAUAUAUUGAUAUGAAUGCUAGCUGGACUUGUAUUUCUAACUUAAUACGAAAAUGAUUUGGAUUAUGCAUUUUGUUUCCAUUUAUUUAUUUAUUUUGUAGUAGCCCUAGAUAAAUUGUAUGUAUAUGAAGAUUGAAGGUGCCUUAAAAAAAAGAGACAUGAAUAGCAAUUUUCUCAAAAAAGGACGAAGGUGGUCAAAUGGUGUACUUUUAAGUGAAUUUACAGCUGUGCUAGAUUAGCUUUGUCUCCUUUAUUCAAUAGAAUUUGCAGUUGUGGUCCAUUCUGUGUCACACUUUUACAGUCUUCCAAAAUUCCAUGGCUGUGACUGUAUUAUUUGUCUAUGACUAUUCGACCACCAAGAUAACAUUUUUCACUAUACUUAUUACCCAAAAAGAGUAAUGUUACAACACAUCUGGCUGUGUGUAUGUGAUGUCUGAAAAACUCUAUAUGCGAUAUAGAUGCAGCCGAAUACUGUAUCUUAAUAUUAAAUUGAACCGUAUCUUAAAAAACUCUAUACUUAAAUUGAAUUGUAACUUUAUGUAUGUAGGCAUUACGCAAAAUAUUAUUUCGAAUGACAAAGGCACAAAUUUUUACCUGAAUGCAAUAACUCAUUUUCACUUCACAUGUUAUAUGUCUCAUUUCACAAAACAAGGACAAAGUUUUGUUCAAAAGACCUAUAAUAUAUGAGUUUUGUAGUAGAUCUACUAACAUACAAAACAUGAACAAUAACUUGUUUGCAUUGAAUUUUUUUUUUUCAUUUUUUUCCUUUUGUUGCAGAGCUACUACAAUGUCUAUGGAGGGGCAGCUGCUCAGUAUCCCAUGUAUGGCAAUGGCCAUGCAGCAGGAGGGAUGAUGACCGGUGGAGCAGCCGCUGCCGCUGCCGCUGCUUACUACCCUUAUCUUCAAUUUGGAGAAGGAACCGGAGCAGCCACCACCGGCUACACUUCCGGCCAAGGCUACGGCGUCCAGUACCCACACCACCUGUUUCCAUACUCCACCAUCAAUGCCGCUGCCGGUUACCCGCAGCACUAUGGUCCCCCUAUGUCUAUUGCUCCUACACCUGCCUUGCAAUCAGGUUUGUACCAUAUGUACAAUUUUACUCUUUACGAUUCAUCUCUAAAAUUUUUUGAAGUUAACAAAUAGUAGUGUUUUUCUUUUUUUCCUCCUAGAAAUCAAGGUUUGGAAACACAUCAUCAAACACACUUUUAACUAUUUUCUAUUUUCAAAGUAAAAUAUAAAUGAUUUAUUGAGAAAUUACACCAUAAUAUGAGUAAUGUUAAACUCUAAAUUAUUUUGUUUAUAUUAUAUCUAUAGUUGAUUUACAUUCGUGUAUGUUUGAAAGAGAGUUACUAACAUCUUUGACAGUGUGUUUUGCUGUGCCACAGGCGUGACCAAUAUGGCUCUGCAUGCUCCACCAAUUCCACAUCGCUAGAGUCAAUGAAUCUCUCAAAUCAUUCUCCUUCAGUUUCAAAUAUGUAUUCAGCUGCAUGCAAUCUCUGAAGAAACAAAACCUUUGGCCUAACCAUGGUUCUCUCUUUCACCUCUCUCUCUAACACAAAAUGCCCAAUUUGCAUGGCAUCAAAUGGGCAUUUUUGCACACAAAAGCCCCCCAUAGGGGCUGGAAAACAAAAAAAACCCACCUCCAAAAAAAAAUUUGGAUGGUCAUGCAUCUUUUUUUUUUCGUAAAAGGGUUCCUUGAAAGAGAACCAAAAAGCUUUUUUGUACCAAAUUACCAACUCAAGCUGUUGUGGAUGAUCAGCUUGUAUUUGGGAACAGUUUAAUUUUCUGUAAAUCCUUAGCCCUGGAAAUGCUAAGUUGAAAAAAAAAUAUCAUUUUAUAACUUUAAUUUAGCCUAGGGAAAAGGCUAAUAAAAUGGAAACCGGUUUGCAAAAAUUGUAAAUUGAACAAAAAGAUAGCAAACCUCUGGUUUUAGAUAUGGCUAAUGAACCUCUGGAGAAAGAGGCAGUUUUAGCAAAAAUCAAAAGGGCAUGGGAUAUGCCCAAAGUUUUUUUUGUGCAUUAACAUGUAGUCUUAGGGUUUUAGAACUAGGACCAUGUAGCAACUAGGGCAGCAGUACUCAUGUUUUUAGAAGUUUUUUUUCCCCCAACUUUCACUUAAAUCUUACAUUUUUUUUUUUAAACCAACAAAUCAAUUUCUUCCCUUUGGGUAAGGGGAGAAAAUGUUUUACUAACACUUUUAGCUUAUUUUCGUUUCUUGUAAAUUCAUUGUGGCUAAAACUUUUGGAGUAUUAGCAACAAAACACUAAACUGUAGGAGGGUACAUUUUUAUUUGCAUUUAGUUACUUUUCAAGAACUCCAUCAAUGGAUGUGGAGCUCAAAUGCAUAUGCAUGCAUGUAAUCCUUGGGAUAUAUUUUGGUUCCCUUGGAUUCUUCUUUUCUAAUUAACCCCACCAACCAUGGUUAGGACUUAGGUCACAUCUCUCUCUCUCUUUUUCUCAAUCCCUCUAUUCUCUCUUUAUGAUCUCGGUUGAACUUUUACUUGGAGA